GCCCAGUGAUGAUACCAAGGCGAAUGUGAGCUCUCUGAUUGCGAGUCUGAAUUCUCCUGUGUUCCUAUUGGCUGGUAAUCUUGACAGGGCAGUGGAGAUUUACUGCUUUGUUGUAAGGGCCAGCCUACAGUAACCAAGUCCCUUCACUUGCGCUCUUCUCUAAAAGAAGUAGUCAGAGCCUGUGUGGAGGGUGCUGACAGUGUGUGUGUGUGUGUGUGUGGAUGCAGGUAGAUUCUCAGCAUAUUGCUUUAUUCAGUAGGCUCUGAUAUGCAUCUUUGGUAAUCUGAGGGUG
ensembl:snoRNA SCARNA10 Small nucleolar RNA U85